UAAAUAUUUUGUAAAAUUAAUUUCACCUGUUUCUUCUUCUAUUUAGUGUGGCUACUGGAUAAUCUGAAAUCGUGCCUGUGGUUUGCAUUAUGUUUUAUUGGACAGCACUGACUUGAUCGUCCAGAGCCAAAUUCCAGGCUGUGGAGAUUAAGAAGAGGAGUUGACACAUUUGGUCAAAGCUGGGGGAAACGCAGCAUAGGCUUGAGCUCAUGCUGCAAACGCCAUCAAGCUCACCCACUAUGUGCCAUGGACUGUGCUGGGUGCUAGGGACCCCACAGUAAAGAAGACUUGGUUCCUGCCCAGGGCAGGGGAGACACACACUGAAAGGAAAAUAUAAGGCAAUGGACAAAUGCUCAACCCAGGUCUCAAGCUUAUUACUCUAGGAGUUGAAAGGUGGAAGUGAGUCUCCCACUUCCUCAAUCUUAACGUGGCAUUUACAAAUGAGGGAGCCAACCAAGCACUGCAGCCCUGAUAUUUCUGGAAACAAUGGUAGAAAAUAAGUCACCUCAGCUUUUCUAAGUUGUGAAACAGAAGCUACAGAAAAGGGAACCCUCCUCGUAUUCCUGGGCCUGACACAGAUUCACAUUCUCUGAAUAAUCUCGAAAACUGCUUAUUGUAACAGACCACGCAAUUUAGAAAUUUAUUUUAAGACCUGUUACUCUCUGAUUCAUCUGCUUGAAGGCAAAUUACAGGAGUCGUUGUAAUAAAAAUGCUUAGGCUGAUCAUAAUAAAACA